GGCAGGGCUCCUUUCAGUGGUGUCCAAAGCCAGGAAAAGAGACCUUGAUCACAAACUGGAGCGCAGAAGGUUUCCUCUGAACACCACGAAGCUCUUCUAUGCUGUCCAGGUGUUGGAGCACUGGCAGAGACUUCCCACAGAGGUCUGCUUAGAGAUCUCCAAAAACUGUCUGGACAUGGUCCUGGGCACCAUGCCCUGAGUGUCCCUGCUGGAGCAGGGGCUCGGCCGGUUGGACCCAGAGCUCCUCACCACCCUCAGCCAUUAUGUCAUUCUGCAUGACUUUAAACUGAGACGGCUCAGUCUUCUGCUAAUGAAACACCUUUCUUGGGGGUGUGCAGAAGGCUCUUGGAAGGGGCAGCAUGCAGAGCAGGUGACUUAGUCUGCAGCUAGCUCAUUCCCAGCAUACCUGAAGGCAAGGCAAUGUCAGCUCAAGGUAAUGAGGCUGCUGCUUGUUCUCCAGAAGACCACACUUGGCUCAUUGCCUUUAGUCUCACACACAUCACUCAUUUGCCAUUUGUAGGUACAGAGUUUAUAAAUGCCUAACUUCAAAUGUUGUAAAGAGGGACUCCGAAGUGCAGUGAAACAGUUGCAGAAAAGAAUCCUUAACCAGAACGAAGUAUUGCACAAGAUGUUCUCUGUGUCAUUUCAUUUUUGAAUUUCUUUUUUGUGAAGAUCAAAGUUAUCUGAGAAAGGCACUUCAUCUGAAUUUCUUAACUGUAGUUCAGAUACGUGUUAAAGAAGUGCAGGGGGAGGGAAUGAGUUUUUUAUCACUUUUGAGUCACCAUUAAAUCCCUACAGAGUAAUUCAGAUAUUCCCAUCUGUCAUGUUUUUCAAAACCCUGCUGAUGUCAGCUUUGAUGAAUAUAGAGUUCUACUGCAGAAAAAUAAACUUGUAAGGAGCUGUGCUAACCACACUUCCACAACUUUUCACCAACACCCUUGUUCUUACUUCCUUGUAUUCAUGUUUAGUAAUGCAAAAUCUAAAACCUCAGGAAUAGAUCUAUGGCAAUAUCCAGCAAUUCUGUCACAGCCCACAAAGUACACUGUAAAGUAAGUAACGCUAUUCAGUAUGUCUCUCAAAAACAAGUAUUACUGUCUUAUAUCACUAUUCAAAGAAUAGAUUAAUAUUUGUAAAGAUGAGGCUAUUAUGGCAGCAACAACCACAACCAAGUGCUACUUUAAUCUUAGUUUUUCAAUCAUCACAUUGCGCUUUCCACGAGCUUAACUAGUAGUUACUGGAAACAAGUAAUUUUAAGAGUGCUUGGAUUUGGUUCCUUGCAUAUUAUCCCCAUGCUCCAGCACUGUAAGAUUGCACAACCACUAAUACAGAAUACACAAAUCCACUUAACUUUCUGUGCUCGAAGACAAACUUCAGCACAAGAGAAAACUUUAAGGGACACGGAGUAUUAACUAGAGAAAUACAUUUUAGAAGUUACAGUCUUUUUCCCUUUAAAAUACUCUACGUAGCAUAACCCACUGCAACAAGUGCAAACACCAGAAACAUUCAUUCUUAAAUUUCUGC
rnacentral:lncRNA from 1 species